rnacentral:tRNA from 1 species
AGAAGAAUAGCUCAAUUGGUAGAGCUGUGGUUUUCAAAACCAAAGGUUGAGGGUUCGACUCCUUCUUCUUCUG